AAAUAAUUUUAGAUAAUAAAGUGUGAAAUUUGAGAUUCUUCAGGAACAUCAGAUAUGAACUGGAUGCAUUUCCGAUUGUCAAAAGUUGACUUCCCUUUAAAUUUGGAAAUGGACAAUUUAGCUCUAUAUGUAAAAAACCUCAGCUGUUUCAAAAAAUGUCAUUUCACAUGGGCAGUGGCUCUUUAAUGAAACAGCUAAUAAUAUUGAUACAGCGGAGAAAGUAUCUAUACACCUAGUAUCUAUAGCGAAUAGUCAAUAAUGAUAU